AUUAAAUCAUUGAAGCGAAGUAAGUAGGCUUAAAAACAAAUUUUCAGAGAGUGGUAGAGGGUGGAAUUACCAUAGUUAUGCUUAAGCUGAAUGGGUCGUGGAGAGGAAGGAUGAAUUAAAGUAGUCUUUCACGUGUUUCUCACGUUAUAGAGAUAGGAUAUAAUCGUAUCUGAAAGAGAAAACUAUACAUUAUAGUUUUAAAAUUAGGUGGUACCGCGUACUUUACGCCCUAUGG
rnacentral:ncRNA from 1 species